AAGCUGGCGUCUUCGGCGUCCGCGUUGUAAUCUCGAGACGUGUUUUCCGUGCGGCUCUAUGGACAAGUCCCUUGGAACAGGGCAUCGUAGAGGGUGAAAAUCCCGUACUUGCCAUGGAAGUACCGUGCUUUGUGAUACACGCUCCAAGAGUCGAGUAGUUUGGGAUUGCUGCUCAAAGUGGGUGGUAGACUCCAUCUAAAGCUAAAUAUCGGGGAGAGACCGAUAGCGAACAAGUACCGUGAGGGAAAGAUGAAAAGCACUUUGGAAAGAGAGUUAAAAGUACGUGAAAUUGUCGAAAGGGAAGCACUUGAAGUCAGCCAUGCUGCUUGAGACUCAGCCUGGCUUUUGCUUGGUGUAUUUCUCGGUAGCAAGCCAGCAUUGGUUUGUGUCGUCGGAGAAGCGUAUGGGGAAUGUGGCAUCCUCGGAUGUGUUAUAGCCCUGUGCAGGAUACGACGACGUAGACCAAGGAACGCAGUGUGCCCUC
rnacentral:rRNA from 1 species